GAUGAACGCUAGCGGCAGGCUUAACACAUGCAAGUCGAGGGGUAUAGUUCUUCGGAACUAGAGACCGGCGCACGGGUGCGUAACGCGUAUGCAAUCUACCUUUUACAGGGGAAUAGCCCAGAGAAAAUUUGGAUUAAUGCCCCAUAGUAUAGUUUUUUCGCAUGAAGAGAUUAUUAAAGUUCCAACGGUAAAAGAUGAGCAUGCGUCCCAUUAGCUAGAUGGUAAGGUAACGGCUUACCAUGGCGACGAUGGGUAGGGGUCCUGAGAGGGAGAUCCCCCACACUGGUACUGAGACACGGACCAGACUCCUACGGGAGCAGCAGUGAGGAAUAUUGGUCAAUGGACGCAAGUCUGAACCAGCCAUGCCGCGUGCAGGGAUGACGGUCCUAUGGAUUGUAAACUGCUUUUGUACGAGAAGAACACUCCUUCGUGAAGGAGCUUGACCGGUAUCGUAAGAAUAAGGAUACGGCUAACUCCGUGCCAGCAGCCGCGGU
rnacentral:rRNA from 1 species